AAGAGUUUUACCACUGUAACUGCCACUGGCUGACAGCGAGGACUAAGACAGUCUGAUCAAACUCAAACUCGGAGGUAUUCCAGAGAGAGGGAGCGCACGGAGGGACUCUUUGAUAUCAGAGCUGGUGUAAAUACUUAUGAGUCUGGGUCACCCUGUGGC
rnacentral:lncRNA from 1 species